ensembl:lncRNA
CUUUCCCUAGUUGAUUUCCCAACAGCUAAAAACCCACCCAUUUAUCUUCUCAGUUGACUUUGUUGUUGACUUCCAUGACGACGUGAAGAUGUGCUCAGGGCUAAUUUUGUGCUGAUGACAUACCACAAAUAAUUUUGCUCUGACGGUGGAGAUGAGAUACAGGGUGCUUGCUGCAAUUCUCUCUUCCACAGUGUGCCAGGGCAACACUAAUCCUAUUCUUUGCACAGCUAUUUGGACCAUCACUGCAUGACUAUUUGGACCAUCAUUGCAUGGCUAUUUGGACCAUCAUUGCAUGGCUAUUUGGACCAUUGUUGCAUGGCUAUUUGGAUCAUCGUUGCAUGGCUAUUUGGAUCAUCGUUGCAUGACUUUUUGGACCAUCGUUGCAUGACUAUUUGGACCAUUGUUGCCCAGCUAUUUGGACCACCAUCAUGGCCAUGGUUUCUCCUCCAAGCAGGGAGACGUUGAUACAAGAAUCACAGGCGAUGGAGGGCAUCUGAGGCCUGAUUUACCUGCAGUGAUAUUCCAUGCCAGUGAGUGCUAUUGAAGUGCAUUCAUCUUAUCUGCCCCUGAAGGGACUGUGGGGUUAACCUACUGCAGAUCAAACACAGCUAUUGUGCAAACAGGCAAAGUAUUUCCUGGCUAUCUUCACCUCUAGUUGCUGGGUAACAUCAAACACUCACAUACUCGCACUUGAUGAGCUAUCCAGGCCCCACCAACCCAUCUCCACUGCUGCUGUGGGAAAGGGCAUGGAGAAAGAGGUGGAAAUACACAGUCCGUAGUGGAAAAACAGCUCUGCAAGUUCUCCCUUUGUUAUUUUGGCAAAAUAACAAAGCCCGAGGGGACACUUGCAAUCAACUCUCUGCACCCUUACUGGAGGCACAAAGGCUUGGAGAAAGAACGAGGAAGAAAGCGCCUUAAUGAAAACAUUCUCAGGACAAACACAGGAAAACACAGCUCUCCCUCCUGUUUGUCCUGCAUUCCCCGAGUAUCUGAACAAGCAAAACAAUUGUGUGUCCCCCGCCACGCUUCCUUCCCCUGGCCUGGCGCUGGUUGGAUGCUGCGGGCAUUGGGAUUUACCCAUGCGCGGACAGACAGACAGCAUAGCGUUGGUAGGAGACUUCUAGAUAAUGCUGGCCAUGCUUCUUGGCCUUGUUUUCUUCUGCAAAAUGGAGGUUGCAACACCAACCUGCAGGCCUUGCUCCAUCCCAGUGUGGCAUUGGUUCCGUCACGGAUUUAUGAGAUGUUUGUUGCUCUUCUCCAAAAUCUGACUAUGGAAGCAUCCCGGAGCACUGGGAACUGCACGCAUUUCCCCAGAUGCAGUCCUGAAAUUGAUACGAAACUUCCUUCCCUCGGUUGCUCUGUGACUCUUUGGGCAUUGCCUGUAGCAGCAGAAGUGCUGCUGGCAAGGGAGGACGGGUUUGCUGCUCCUCAUUCCUGACACAAUCACAGAAUCCUCCCUGCACAGCUGCUGCCGGCAGCUGGAAAAGGAAGCUGUGCCCAGCCCAGCACUCCCCCACGUCUGCAUUGGGUUCAGCUGGCAACGCUGGAGAAAAAUCCCGAAAAUGUGCAAACUGCAGUUCUUUUUGGGGAUAUUUUACUCAGCAAAUGUUCCUGGGGACGGUAAAAGGCGAGAUCCUGGCUGACAGCGGGAGCAGCUGCUGUGUUUCUGGAACCUCAAGUGUCAGAAGAAUAAUUCCUCCCGGUGCCAAAACAAAAUAGUCUUCCCCUAUCCUUGCACACGGACGAACUAUUUCUGCUGGAAUUACAAGGAGACCAUCCCUAGGCAGACGCCCAAGCACGCAGCAUUUCCUCCUGCCUGUUUAAAGUCUGGUGGAGUCACAAGGGCCGACGCUCGGGGCUCUGCUCUGUGUCUCCGAUACCUGCAGGGAAAAGCAUGGAAACGCGUCCUAAUGCUCAGCGAGUGGGUGAAUAAAGUGCACCAUCAGAGGUGUUUUCUUUGGGUUUCGGGGUAGUGAUGGCUUGGGAGGAUGUCUGGCUGUGGAACGCC